rnacentral:rRNA from 1 species
UAAGCGAAUAGUGAAACCUGGUGGCUCAACCAUACAGACUAUUAUUCGAACUGGCAAACUCGAGAGCAGUAGAGGUAACUGGAAUUUCUUGUGUAGGAGUGAAAUCCGUAGAUAUAAGAAGGAACACCAAUGGCGUAGGCAGGUUACUAGGCUGUUUCUGACGCUAAGGCACGAAAGCGUGGGGAGCGAACCGGAUUAGAUACCCGGGUAGUCCACGCCGUAAACGAUGGAUACUA